rnacentral:rRNA from 1 species
GAUGAACGCUGGCGGCGUGCCUAAUACAUGCAAGUAGAACGCUGAAGGAGGAGCUUGCUCUUCUGGAUGAGUUGCGAAAGGGUGAGUAACGCGUAGGUAACCUGCCUGGUAGCGGGGGAUAACUAUUGGAAACGAUAGCUAAUACCGCAUGACAACAGUUAUUGCAUGAUAACUGUUUAAAAGGGGCAACUGCUCCACUACCAGAUGGACCUGCGUUGUAUUAGCUAGUUGGUGAGGUAACGGCUCACCAAGGCGACGAUACAUAGCCGACCUGAGAGGGUGAUCGGCCACACUGGGACUGAGACACGGCCCAGACUCCUACGGGAGGCAGCAGUAGGGAAUCUUCGGCGAUGGACGGAAGUCUGACCGAGCAACGCCGCGUGAGUGAAGAAGGUUUUCGGAUCGUAAAGCUCUGUUGUAAGAGAAGAACGAGUGUGAGAGUGGAAAGUUCACACUGUGACGGUAUCUUACCAGAAAGGGACGGCUAACUACGUG